UAAGAUUUCUUUUUAUUUAUGUGUGCAGACACCCUCGAAGGUCAGAAGAGGUUGUCAGAUCCCCCAGAGCUGGAAUUAUAGGUGGAUAUGAGACACAUGAUAUAGGUGCUAAGAUCUGAACUCAGGUCCCUCUGAAGAGUAGCAGGCAGCCUUAACCACUAACCCAUUUAUUUAAUUAUCUCCUAGCCACUGUUCAAAUGACUAAGAUUUAGAUAUAUUUCACAUCUAUUUGUGUUGGUUUUAGCUAGAUUGUUUCCUUUUAUUUUUUUGUUUUGAGUUUAAGUUUCAUAUCCUCAUUUUCUAAUUCUGGGCAGGGCACACACACACACACACACACACACACACACACACACACACACACACACACACACACACAUACACACACCCCGCACCUCCCCCAUUACUAGGUAUAGUUAGUGUGUCUGAGUCUGCCACUUAUCAGCAAUACUAGCAGGGCUGCAACUCCCUAGCUGCUUCAAAUGAUUUUUUUUUAAUCCUUCUAGUCCCAGCACUAAAUGUUUUUUAGUCUUCACUGCUGGUGGACAGGGUCAUUGGCUGAUUUCUGACCAAUGGAACCAGCCUUGAGUGUUUAGAAUUAUUUCCAGGCUUGUUUUGAAAAAGCCCUCCAGUGAAAUCCCCUCAUUGUCUGGUUCUUUAUGAGCUGUUGUAACACAGCAAGAUGCGGUGGAGUUGGAAAGCUGGAGGGACAUUUGUUCAGAGACCUGACCACACUGUGUCCUGGCACUUUCUACACCCAAACUCUUACAGGCAUUGGUUAUCCAGGUACCAGGCUUUUGUUAUUGUUGAUGUUCAUUUCACCAGUGAUCCUUCCUGGCUUUCAAAUAAAAGGGGUUCAGAGUGGCAGCUAUCCAUAGCGAAUUUCUGUCCAGUAAUGGCUUUGGUCACAUAUUUUAAAAACUAGAAUGUGCUAUUUUUUCUUGUUGACAAAUAAUUUUAUUUUAAAAUAUAAAUACUUUCUGACAUCAGACCUCAGAAUGAAAGAAUUCAAAUGUACUUGAAAAGGUUAUCAGUCCUAAGAAGUAAUAAAAAAAAUACAUGUAGUGAGAAGAAUAAGUUUGGAUUAUAAUACAUUUUGAAGGAAUGAUAAAAUACUUUUGAGACAGUGUUUAGUAAUGGAUAUUUCAUAUAGGCAAAUUCAAAACAGGCUUGUAAAAGGUAAAACACAUUAUUGUAUAGGCAUAUCUUAUGUGCUAUUUAAAAAAGUAAGUUAUACAAGUCACUAUACACUUCUAGAAAAACUAAAAAGAAAGUAAAAGCGUUUAUCCUUUUAGACUGUGUAGAUACAGAUAUAUCUUCCCGACAAGAAUAACCACAUGCUAGUAUUAGUUCCAUUCUUGCUGCUAUGACCAGACACCUGGAAGAGAGAACGUAAAGGAGGGAGGGUUUAUUUGGGCUCAUAGUUCACAGGAACACAGUCCGUCCAUCCUGGCAAGGAAGGCAUGGCAAGAAGAGGGUGGGUGUCUGAUCACAUCUGGUCCCUGCUCAGGACACAGAGAGAGAUGAAAGCUGGUGUUCUUGGUGUUCUACUGCCUGCUCCUUCUAAGGUUUUCAUUUAAAGUGUGACUCUCUCUCUCUCUCUCUCUCUCUCUCUCUCUCUCUCUCUCUCUCUCUCUCUCUCUCUGUGUGUGUGUGUGUGUGUGUGUGUGUGUGUGUGUGUGUGUGUGUGUGUGUGUGUGUGUGUACAUGAGUACAAUGUCCAAAGAAGCCAGAGGGGCAUCAGAUUUCUUAGAGCUGUAGUUAUAAGGGGCGGUGAGCCACCCCACAUGGCUCUGGGAACAGAACUCAGGUCCUUUGGAAGAACAGUAAGUGCUCUUAACCCAUGAGCAAUCCCUUAGCCCUAUUUUCACUUUUUUGUUCAAUCUGGGCUCCCAGACCAUGGAGUGAUGCUUCCUACAGUCAAGGUGAGUCUUCCUACCUCAGCUGAAGAUCUCUGAAAACACUUUCGCAGGCAUGUCCAUGAUUUGUCUUUCAGGUGAUUCCAGAUCCAGUCCAGCUGACAGUUAAGACCAAUCCAUGUUUAGUGUCUUAUAACUUUUUCCAUUGUUUGACAUUUACUGUAAACAUUUUUUGUAUAUGUCAUCAUUUUGAAUGAUGGCACUGUCACCUAAAUUUCCUGUGAUGAAUAUCCAUGUACAUUUAUCUUUACCUCUGUCUUUAUUUUGUUAAGGUCAUUGUUGAGUAGAAGCACCAAUUUAACAUCUUGUUCUACAGCUACUACAGCAUUAUCCCUCUCCGAGUCUUCCAAGCAUCGGGCAGCAAGCUGGCGUGCGGCACUGUGUUCUAAGGAGAGGACAUUUCCCUGAAGAACCGUUCAUGUCUCUCCUGCUUUUGGAGCCUGAAGAUGCAGUGGUCGCUUUUCUCACGGUUGCAGCAAAGUAUCUGAGGAAAUCGGCUUAAGGAUGGGUUCAUUUGGCUCAUGGUUGGAAGGUUCCAGCCAUCAUGAUGAGGAGGAAGUCGUGGCAGAGGGAGCGCCAGGCCGCGGGUCACAUUUGCCUCUGCAGGUGCUCGGUUCAUUUUCUCUAGUCUCUAACAGUCCUGCUCACUGCUAGGCAACCCCACCUCAGCUAAUUUAGCCGUUCCCUCACAGACAGGCCCACAGGUUCGUUCCCUAGGUGAUUCUGGAUUCUGUCACGUUGACAACCAGGGUGAAGCACCACAGGGCAUAAGCCAAAGUUUGAUGGGCAAUAGUGCUUUCCAGAACAGGGAAAAAUUAGCAGCCCGGGUGUCACAAACUGGUGGCCCGUGCCCUUCACUCUUUAUAGGGAAAUCCUACAGUGUGUCUUCUUUUAUGUUUGACCAAAGCCCCUGACCAAUUCCCUAAAAUGGUUGCUCUGUUCUCUGGAAAAAAUAAUGAUGUUCACUGAUCAAUUUGCA